rnacentral:rRNA from 1 species
CGCGUAGGUGGUAGUGUAAGUCUGGGGUGGAAUCCCAGGGCUUAACCCUGGAACUGCCUUGGAAACUGCAUUACUUGAGUCAGUGAGGGGAGGGUAGAAUUCCUGGUGUAGCGGUGAAAUGCGUAGAUAUCAGGAGGAAGGCCUGUGGCGAAGGCGGCCCUCUGGCGCUGGACUGACACUGAGGCGCGAAAGCGUGGGGAGCAAACAGGAUUAGAUACCCUGGUAGUCCACGCCCUAAACGGUGGGCACUAGGUGUAGGGCUCGUAAGGGUUCUGUGCCGAAGGGAAACCAUUAAGUGCCCCGCCUGGGGAGUAUGGCUCGCAAGGGUGAA